AGCAUGGAGGUGGAGACUUUGGGGGAAGUGAUUAAGUCAUGAAGACUGCCUUCAUAAAUGGGAUAAUGUAAAGGAGAUUAAAAGGAGGCUGUUUGCUCCCUUCUACCAUGUGAGAAUGCAGCAAGAGGUACCAUCUCUGUGCAAUGAGCCCUUACCAGACAUUGAACCUGCUGGCACUUUAUCUUGGACUUCCCAGCCUCCAGAACUUAGAGAUGAUGUCUUGCCACAUUGCCCAGGCUGGUCUCAAACUCCAGGCCUAAAGGGAUCUUCUGACUUUGGCCUCCCAAAGUGCUGAGAUUAUAGGAUCGAGGCUAUCAAGCUACAGAUGAUCUUACAAAUGGAACCCCAAAUGAGCUCAACUAACAACUACCAAGGACCCCUGGACCAACCCGCUGGCCCUUUCAAUGGCCUAAAGAGUUCCCCUCUGGAGGACACUACAACUGCAGGGUCCUUUCUUUGCCCCUAUCCAGCAGGAAGUAGCUAGAGUGGUCAUCACCCAAUUCCCAACAGCAGUUGGGGUGUCUUGUUAAGUGGGGAGAUUGAGAGGUGAAGCCAGCUGGGCUUCUGGGUUGGGUGGGGACUUGGAGAACUUUUCUGUCUAGCUAGAGGAUUGUAAACACACCAAUCAGUGCUAUGUGUCUAGCUAGAGGUUUGUAAAUGCACCAAUCAGCACUCUGUAAAAACGGACCAAUCAGCACUCUGUAAAAUGGACCAAUCAGUAGGAUGCGGGCAGGGCCAAAUAAGGGAAUAAAAGCUGGCCACCUGAGUCAGCAGUGGCAACCCACUCGGGUCCCCUUCCAUGCUGUGGAAGCUUUGUUCUUUCACUCUUCACAAUAAAUCUUGCUGCUGCUCACUCUUUGGGUCCACACCACCUUUAUGAGCUGCAACACUCACUGCGAAGGUCUUCAGCUUCACUCCUGAAGUCAGCGAGACCACGAACCCAUGGGGAGGAACAAUCGACUUCAGACAUGCCACCUUUAAGAGCUGUAACACUCACUGCGAAGGUCUGUGGCUUCACUCCUGAAGUCAGCAAGACCACGAACCCACUGGAAGGAAGAAAUUUCGGACACAUCUGAACAUCUGAAUGAACAAACUCUGGACACGCCAUCUUUAAGAACUGUAACACUCACUGUGAGGGUUCAUGGGUUCAUUCUUGAAGUCAGCAAGACCAAGAACCCACCAGAAGGAACCAAUUCCGGACACAGACUCACUGCAACCUCCACCUCCUGGAUUCAAGUGAUUCUCCUGCCUCAGCCUCCGGAGUAGCUGUGCCUACAGGCACAAGCCACCACACACGGCUAAUUUUUUGUAUUUUUAGUAGAGAUGGGGUUUCACCAUGUUGCUCAGGCUGGUCUCCAACUCCUGAGCUCAAGUGAUCCACCUGUCUCGGCCUCCCAAAGUGUUGGGAUACAUGUGUGAGCCACUGUGCCCGGCCUCCUCUGGAUUAGUUCUUACAGGAAUAGAUUAGUUCUUGCUCGAGCAAGUUGUUAUAAAAGUGAGGUUGCCUCUAGUGUUUUGCAUCCUCACAUAUGUCUGCUUACCUCUUGACCUCUCUCUGUGUUAUGACCCAGCACAAAAGCCCUUACCAGAAGCCAAGCAGAUGCUGAUGCCACACCCCUUGGACUUCUCAGUCUACAGAGCCAUGAAACGAAUAAACCUCUCUUUAUAAAUUAUCCAGCUUCAGGUAUUCUGUUAUAGCAACACAAAAUGGACGAAGACAACUAC
rnacentral:lncRNA from 1 species